rnacentral:rRNA from 1 species
GACGUAGGGGGCCAGCGUUGUUCGGAAUUACUGGGCGUAAAGGGUUCGUAGGCGGCGCGGCAAGUCGGGUGUGAAAUCUCUGGGCUUAACUCAGAGGCUGCUUCCAAAACUGCUGUGCUUGAGUGUGGGAGAGGCGCGUGGAAUUGCAGGUGUAGCGGUGAAAUGCGUAGAUAUCUGCAGGAACACCCGUGGCGAAAGCGGCGCGCUGGACCACUACUGACGCUGAGGAACGAAAGCUAGGGGAGCAAACAGG